UGGGGAAUAUUGCACAAUGGGCGAAAGCCUGAUGCAGCAACGCCGCGUGAGUGAUGAAGGUCUUCGGAUUGUAAAGCUCUGCCUUUUGGGACGAUAAUGACGGUACCAAAGGAGGAAGCCACGGCUAACUACGUGCCAGCAGCCGCGGUAAUACGUAGGUGGCGAGCGUUGUCCGGAUUUACUGGGCGUAAAGGGUGCGUAGGCGGAUGUUUAAGUGAGAUGUGAAAUACCCGGGCUUAACUUGGGUGCUGCAUUUCAAACUGGAUAUCUAGAGUGCAGGAGAGGAGAAUGGAAUUCCUAGUGUAGCGGUGAAAUGCGUAGAGAUUAGGAAGAACACCAGUGGCGAAGGCGAUUCUCUGGACUGUAACUGACGCUGAGGCACGAAAGCGUGGGUAGCAAACAGGAUUAGAUACCCUGGUAGUCCACGCCGUAAACGAUGAGUACUAGGUGUAGGAGGUAUCGACCCCUUCUGUGCCGCAGUAAACACAUUAAGUACUCCGCCU
rnacentral:rRNA from 1 species